AAAAAGGGUAACUAUUUACAAUAAUAAAAAGAAUAAACUGGAGAAUGUGGUCACGUUCCUUGUUUUGGGAACGUUCGUUCCGUUACGAGAACGUAGUAACAAUCUCGAUCCCGUAGGGUUAAAACCGUUUUAGUAACGUAUCAUGUACCACGUUUCUGUUCCUCGAUUUCAUCGAUCCAGAAACCUGAUUACUAAGAUAAUAAACCUGAAAAAAAACAAAAAAAUAUGUUUCCCACCCAUUUACAAGUAGUCGAUUUAUAGUGCAAUGGAUUACUCUAUUUAGGAUUCCACAUGAAAAUUUUAUGUGAAAAUUUGGCACCAAAAGUUUUUUGCCAUAUUAUGUUCCAGGCUUCCAAUGUCCAGACGAAAUUUGUGCAUAAUUCUGCAGGUAGUGGAAACUGUUCUGAGCAAGAGGGAGUAACAAGCAAAACAUUCCAGCAUAAUUUCUCCUGGAAUAGGAACCGCAAAAAACAAGUGCCAAUAAUCUGUGAAGUGAUCAAGAUUCCUUGUCAAGCAACAACUGAGAUCUCAGAGGCUUGUCCCUGAUGUGAAUAGCAGCAUACCAUCCAGCACUGAAAGACUUUGUACUCUUCUACCAAAAGCAAUGGAACCAACAGACGAAUCGAAGCCGAUGAGAACAAAAUCAGCAGCUUUAUUCCACUCUCAAACAUGUCCCAGUACAGCUCCUAUGCAGGCAGCGCCUAUCUAUGCCGAUAUACCUUUCCCUCCCUGUUACCUUUUUUUUUCUCACAAAUCAAAGUGCCACCCUUCCUAUGACUGUACUGUCAAAUCCGGAGGGCCUGAGAAACAGAACCACGGUGCGAUAAAAUGCUAUGUCUUUAGUUUUACACCGUAGCUAUGCGUUCUGGAAGGGGAGAAUCAGAUCCCAUGAUCUCCAUUAUUGUGCACAAGAAACAGACCACCGGUGGCAGGUAGAAUGUUUGGGGCAAGAUGGAUCAGGUAACGAGUACCAUCCACAGAAAUUAUGGGGACAGCCAUCCAGUAAAGUAAAAAAAAAAACUUCACCAUGGAGAUAUAUGUAUCUUGAAAUAUGCGUGAGGAAUGAGUUUAUAACAAAACAAUUUGCAGCUAUCAACCCUUCAUAGUGGAAUUUGUGUAUUACUGUGCAGUUUUCUAAUGAUUGUGUCCUGCUUCCAUCUUUUGUUCAAAAGGCCAAGGUUCCACUUUACUAAUAAUGCUAGCUACAGCAUUGGUGGUGAGUCGCAUGAUUCCACAAAGUAGCAAAACAUUGCAAUCCAAGACUGCACUCCUCGGCAAAAUUGUCUUCAGAUUUUGGGAGAAUCAGUUCCGGCGGUGUUUUGUCCAGAGGAGUCCAAUCAGAGGCUCAAAACCAUCAUUUUAGUUGCCCAAUCAGAAGCUAGCAACAAUUAACAAAACCAUAUGUAAACCCGUAGGCCAGUAAUAACCACCCUUCUCAUUAGCUUUGCUGAAUGUUAAGAGUGUCCAAUUCUCUAUAAUCCAAUGAAUGUACGGUGUAUGUUUCAUUGCUGAACGUGGUUGGUGGUGGCAUUGUGUCUGUAAGGUUACGGCUAGUGUAUAAAUACCUGGUUUGAGGAUGAGGGAGGUACCAAACAAGGAGGAACUGGCAUCAGCUGGUUGCUACCAAGGAUAACCACCAGUGCAUCCUGAUAAACACCCCAGCCUGCAUUCAUGGGUCGCCAUGCGCUUGCGAAAUCGGCAGCUCUGCUCCGGGAAGUUAAGAACAAGCAAAGGACUAACCUUGUGAAGCGACUGGAGCCUACAGAAGCGAGGUCUCCACAAACAUCAUUGUGGGUACCACACCCAAGGACAGGGAUCUACUACCCCAAGGGCUUUGAAUGGGUCAUGGAGGAUGUCCCCAGCAGCGCAGCUUCAUUCCAGCAGUCAUACUGGUUCAGGACUGGGGAGGCAGAGCCAGCAAGCUCUAUUACAUCAAAGAAUGAUUCUACUUCCUUUGACCAUCCAUUUGCUUGAUAUAUGAGAGGCUUUGCACUGGAAUAAAAACCAUUGAAAGACACAGCUGUGUGCUUUCAGGAAGAAAAGAGAUACAGUUGUGCAAGUCAUCACCAUCAUGGCAGGUCCAUGGAUGCUUCAUGCUUACCAGUUGUUCUGAUUCCCAGGGUGCAGUCGCAGCAACCACCUACAGAUCGGAAACAAUGUCCGCCUUUCUUUUGUAUUUUUUUCUUAACCUUCUGUUGGUUCAACUUGAAAGACCUGUCCUAAACUGUACCUUUAGAGCAGCAGUUAUUUUAUUUUAUUUUUAAGCUUGUCCUAAGAAAAGAAACCAAUCAAAGCUUUGGUUCUCAUACUGUUAAAGGAGAGGCAAACAUGAAAGAUCAUAA